ACCUGCCUUGAGAGAUUUAAAAUCAGGACGAGGAUUGCUACGAUUUUCUCACUUCUAGUGAUCUAGUGCAGAGUGCAGACAUCCAAGGCUGCUAGUGAGAAAGAUACAAACAAAUUAAACUCUGUCUUUUCACCUUAUGUUGCCAGCAUACAAACAAAUUACAAAAAAGAGAGAAUGAAUGAACGAUCUCUGCCAUUAGAGCUCACGACAUCAAAAUAACCAGAAUUACUAGGCAAAAACAACACCCAGCACAUAAAUGAAACUGUUCAGAUUCUUCAGAAAAGCUUUCUUGGCUUAUCAAUGACAUAAAAAUCAGCUAGUACAUGUCAAUGUCAAAAAAUUCAGCUAGUAUAUCAGAUUUCAGGACUUGUCUCCAGCGGGGGCUUCCUGGACAUGGUGCUCCUGAGCCGGUGCUUCAGGACGCCGAUCUCAGCCGCCACAGUGUCGUCGUCAUCACGUUCAGCCACGGCGCCUUGGGCGACGGCGCUUCCGCCUCCUCCGCCAUGACGGCCGCCGCCACCACGGCCCCGACGGCGCCGCUGCGACUGAGGGAUCGAGCCGCGACAGCAGGGUCUCCAUGAGGGCGGAAGGAGAGGGAGGAGAUGGAGGCUCCAUGAGGCAGGAGGAGAGGUGGCGGCGGCAGCAUGAGAGGAUGCGCUUCGUGUGUGUCGAUGUCAAGAGCCGAGAUGUCCACAUGAGCCGCAAAACUGAACGACCCGGCCGCAUGAGCCCAAUAAGAUCCAUCUUUUGCGGGCAAGGUCAGUAAUAAUCAACAGACCGAAUUAACCGAAAAGUACUCGUCAAUCACCGUAAAAGAGCUCUCAAA
rnacentral:lncRNA from 1 species